AAACCAACAGGGAUUGCCUUAGUAGCGGCGAGUGAAGCGGCAAAAGCUCAAAUUUGAAAUCUGCCUUACGGCCGAGUUGUAAUUUGUAGAUGGUAACUCUGUGGCAAGCCUUUGCUCAAGUUUUCUGGAAAGAAACAUCAUGGAGGGUGACAAUCCCGUGAGGCAUUGGUGCAGCUGCGUGUAGAGUGCUAUCAAAGAGUCGAGUUGUUUGGGAAUGCAGCUCAAAGUGGGUGGUAGACACCAUCUAAAGCUAAAUAUUGGCGAGAGACCGAUAGCGAACAAGUACUGUGAAGGAAAGAUGAAAAGCACUUUGAAAAGAGAGUGAAAAAGUACGUGAAAUUAUUGAUACUGAAGGGUAUAAAAUUGGACUCAAGGUCUAGGUUCGGUAGCCUCUCGGGGUUGCUUUGUCCUAGGCCCUAAACCAGCAUCAGUUUUAGCAGGUGGAUAAACAACAUGGAAUGUAGCUGCUUGCAGUGUUAUAGACUUGUUGCAUACACCUUGCCGGGACUGAGGACUGCCUUUGUAGGAUGCUGGGGUAACGAUUUUAUACCA
rnacentral:rRNA from 1 species